UGCCGCGUGUGUGAAGAAGGCCUUCGGGUUGUAAAGCACUUUCAGCGGGGAGGAAGGCGUUAAGGUUAAUAACCUUAGCGAUUGGCGUUACCCGCAGAAGAAGCACCGGCUAACUCCGUGCCAGCAGCCGCGGUAAUACGGAGGGUGCAAGCGUUAAUCGGAAUUACUGGGCGUAAAGCGCACGCAGGCGGUCUGUCAAGUCGGAUGUGAAAUCCCCGGGCUCAACCUGGGAACUGCAUUCGAAACUGGCAGGCUAGAGUCUUGUAGAGGGGGGUAGAAUUCCAGGUGUAGCGGUGAAAUGCGUAGAGAUCUGGAGGAAUACCGGUGGC
rnacentral:rRNA from 1 species